GCGACCGCCGCGCCUGCCCCUUACCGGCGCUGCAGCCAGGUGCGCUGCCGUCAGGUGGCCCUGGACGCGCCAGGCUGGGGCCUCCUCUGAGCGCCCCGCGGGGGCCAUGGAUGUCGAGACAGCAGAGGAGCAGGGGGGCCCUGCGCCCCCACCAGGUGCACCCUGCGAACCUUGCUCAGCCGGCACUCCCGCCCUUGUGGGGCGGCGGGAGCCCAAGAAGUACGCAGUGACCGAUGACUACCAGUUGUCCAAGCAGGUGCUGGGCUUGGGUGUGAACGGCAAGGUGCUGGAGUGCUUCCACCGGCGCACCGGGCAGAAGUGUGCCCUGAAGCUCCUGUAUGACAGCCCCAAGGCCCGGCAGGAGGUGGACCACCACUGGAAAGCCUCAGGCGGCCCCCACAUUGUGCGCAUCCUGGAUGUGUAUGAGAACAUGCAUCACAGCAAACGCUGUCUCCUCAUCGUCAUGGAAUGCAUGGAAGGCGGUGAGUUGUUCAGCAGGAUUCAGGAGCGUGGCGACCAAGCUUUCACUGAGAGAGAAGCUGCAGAGAUCAUGCGGGAUAUUGGCACCGCUAUCCAGUUUCUGCACAGCUGGAACAUUGCCCACCGAGAUGUCAAGCCUGAAAACCUGCUCUACACGUCCAAGGAGAAAGAUGGGGUACUCAAGCUCACUGACUUUGGCUUUGCCAAGGAGACCACCCAAAAUGCCCUGCAGACUCCCUGCUACACUCCCUAUUAUGUGGCUCCUGAGGUCCUGGGUCCAGAGAAAUAUGACAAGUCAUGUGAUAUGUGGUCCCUGGGCGUCAUCAUGUACAUCCUCCUAUGCGGCUUCCCGCCCUUCUACUCCAACACGGGCCAGGCCAUCUCCCCGGGGAUGAAGAGGAGGAUCCGCCUGGGCCAGUAUGGCUUCCCCAAUCCUGAGUGGUCAGAGGUCUCUGAGGAUGCCAAGCAGCUGAUCCGCCUCCUGCUGAAGACAGACCCCACAGAGAGGCUGACCAUCACACAAUUCAUGAACCAUCCCUGGAUCAACCAAUCGAUGGUGGUGCCACAGACUCCACUCCACACAGCCCGAGUGCUGCAGGAGGACAAAGACCACUGGGAUGAAGUCAAGGAGAAGGCAACCAGUGACUCAAGGGAACCAGUUUCCUGGGAUUCAGAGGAGCUGGUCAGGACAGGUUAGUUGGGGUGUGGGGCCACCUGCUGGUCACCUGGUGAGUAUUCAGUAGAUGCCUACUGUGUGCCAGACCCUGAGGCAGCUGUGGUUCUGCCUAGGUGGAGGGGGAGACCACAACAUCAUAAUGAACAGCUGCCAUUUACUGAGUGCCUAUUGUACACCAGGACUAUGUGAGGGCUUUACCUGGAUCAUCUCACUUAGUCCUCACAGUCCCAUCUCACAGAUGGAGAAACUGAGCCCUCAGACUCUUAGCUGGAGGAGGUCAGAGGAAGGGAUGCUACUUUUGGCUGGGGACAAUCAUAGAGGGCUUCCAAGAGGUGGUGACACGUGAAUUUGAAGGGCAAAUUUGGAUAGACAAAGAUUUGGGAAAAGCGCAUUCCAGCUGACAGGUAUGGGGGAGGCAAGGCGAGGAGGCAGGAAUGGGAUGUGAAGAAUGGAGAACAAGUCUAUUUAACCGGUGAGAGGCAGGAGGUUGCUCAUUUCCUCAUCCCAUCUCCUGUAGGUAGUCAGGGUGGGGACUUUAGGGGUGAGACAGUGGGUACCUGGUAGCAGCUUCUCUCUCUUAGUGCUCCCAGGCCAAUCUCAUGUGUGGAGGAUGCAUUCCCUCCUCCCCAUAUCCACAUCUGCCUCCCCUAGAGAUACACCCGGCUCUUGAUGCUAGUUUGUCAAACUAUCUAUCCACCUCCUCUUGCUGGUAUGGCCUUUUCAGGUGGCUCCAGAGUUGGAUCUUUUCACACUGGACUCCCUGUACCCUCAGGAUGUGGCCUCUGCUUCCAGCAAAGCUAUUUUGUGUACUGGAUUUUCUCCUGAGAUUUAAUUUGAACCAGAGUUUAUGUGCUUUAAAAAAGUUUAUGGACCAUUGAACUAGACGCUUAACACUUAUCUCAAAUCGUGCAGUAUGAUCCCAUUUUACAGAUGGGAAACCGAGACUCAGCAUGACUAAAUACUUGCUGGGGUCCAUGGCUGGGCUCUGAUAUGAAAAAAUGGCUUCAAGAUUGUCCUUUCUCCCACUGUCCUCAAAGGGUCCAGACUUCAUGCGGACAGGCAGAGGAGAGCCACCUGCACGGUCUGAUGGGCUGCAACAAGUGCUAAUGAGGAGAGCAGAGAUGAUGGGGUGAUCGUGGCUCUCUUAGGCAGGGUUGUUUUCCUCUUUCUGGUGGGGGUUUGAGAGAAAGUUGGGACAAAGAGGAGGUGAUGGGGAUGAGGAGGUAUUGGGGAGGCACUGGGGAGUCUGCCUCAUCCCCAAAUACCUGCCCCUGAUGCAGCGGCUGUGUGGAUAAAGUAGAUUAUGCCCCCAGAUCCACUCCCAGCCUUCAGCUGUGUUCACAUCAAGCCAGAGAGACCAGCAAGCCGAUCCACCAUCAGACCUGGAAGAGAUCCUCUGUGCAGAGCAAGGUAGGCCCUUCAGCUGCCCUCUGGAGUAGCCCCCAGUGUGGUGAACCUCCCUAGUGCAGGCUUACUUCCAGUUGAUGGGACCUCGACUCAUGGGCCAUGUGUCCCCACCAAAGAAAGGCCCAGUGAGUGAGGGGCUGGGCUACCCAGCUCUGGGUCUGGCCUGCUCCAGUUACACACUGGAGCCCAUGUUUUGAGCAUCUAGAGUGUGCCAGAAUGUCUCAUACGUGACCGCCUUCACUUUUCUGUCCUUCCAAUAGCUUUCUAAGCAGGGAUUAUGUCCAUCUCGCAGAUGAAGUCACUGAGGCUUGAGUAGCAUGGGGAUAAAGUGCCCAGGUUCCUCCAUGUGGUGAGUGGCAGGGCGGGGGGUCUGAAUCCGGGAGCAUGGGGCUCUAAGAUCCCCUCCCAAACAGAAAUGCUCUCCCUGCCCAAAGAAUCCCAACCCUGCAUGACCCUUCCCUGAUAUUCUAUGUCCCUGGCUGCCAGAGGAAGGGCCCUUGGUGGGGGGCUCCCAUGCUCUCUGGCCCCCAAACCUGAGUAGGGAGUGCCAGGCACCUCUCGGCAUGGUUUAAGGUCAAGGCAUUUCCCUGUGGCUGAGAUGGAAGUUGAGCUGGGUCACACAGGCUGGGGCCCCUUCCAGCUCUGCUCUGUGACCAUGGACAACUCCCUUAACUCCUCUGAGCCCAUCUCCUCAUUAGAACAUGUGGACAGUGACACCUGCCCCCUGGACCAUGAGACUGUGAAAGGUGAGGCACGAUGCCCUGAAGAGCUCUCAGCAUAUCAUAGGUCCUAGAAAAUGUCGCUUCACACAAAAGACUGUAGGGUUUGAUGGUGUAUGGGGAAGUAUUGAGUGGAGGCUGAAAGCCUUCAGAAAGGAGGCUGUCUUCCCGGGAAAAGCUGCAGUCAGGGCCCCUGUCUGAGUGAGCUGCCCACCUGCCCUGGGGACCUCUCUUUCUGAACGUCCCUUUCAGGCCAGGGUCUACUGGGCUGUGCAGCAGGGCUGGCCAGGGCUGCUGGGGAGACAGUGAGGCAGAGGAGGCAGCCAAGGCAGGUCCGAAGAACUACUCCGCACAGGGUCGUGAAGGUAUCCAGGGAAUGUGGGGCACAGGGCUGGUCACCACGCCAGCCAGAUGAGGGGAUGGGCUGACCUAGAGUGUCUUCUAUGGGCAAGCCUCCCUGGACCAUUGGCUGGGGCAACCUAAGCAGACAGAACUUCUUUAAUGACAGAGUCCAUAGCCAAAGUGGGGUGACAGACACGGACAGGAAGGUCAGGGAAGGUUUCCGAGAAGGGGUAUUCAGCUGAGGAAGAAUGACCAGAAGAAGUUGCUGUAAGAAGAACAAGAGGAAGGGUAUCGCAGAUGGAGGGAAUAGCAAGUGCAAAAGCCCUGGGGCUGAAAAGAACUUCAAGUAUCUGAGGAGCAAAAAUGAGUGCAACAUGCCUGGAGAGUGCUGCUCCAGCCUCUCUCGGACAGAAGUGAGUAUGUGGACUGCCUUAUGGGGCCCCAGGAAAUUGGGCUUUUUGGAGUGCCUUUCUAUAUGCUCUGCCACUGACCACCCAGAACAGGGUCCAACCUAGGGCUCAGGGCAGCUUGGCCAGAUGUGAAUCAACCCUUACGUGGCCCUUGACUCCCCAGAUAUGGCUUUAAUAUCUAAUCGUUGACGAUAAAUUGAACUCACUAAACUGUGGAUGCAAAGCUUGCUGGAGCUCUUUACAUCAGCAAAGCCAGUAGCUGUGUCUAUUUCCACACAGAGAAGAUGCAAUAAAAUAUAAUUCACCUCUGGAGAUAGAUUCUGUAGAGCUAGGGCUCUGCCCUCUGGGCCCAGGAGAGAGGGGAUCAAUUCCUCUUGGUGAGCUCCUAUAAAUGGGGUUCAAGCUUAUUGGAAUUAUGUGAGUGCUCGGGUGGGAGAUCCUAGGGUGCGGGGUGUGCAGAGAUUCUCGGCAAUGACUAUGUACUAUAAUAUAAUCUCAGUCAGCAGGAGACAAGGCCCUCCUCUCUCCAGCACAUGAGUCAUACAGGCCAGGGGCCUGGGUUGGGAGCACUGUCAAGGGAUGAGUGGGCCUGACCCGGAAGGUUUUCUUUCUUCUGUUAUUCUGAUGGUCAGGUGGGUUUUCUCAGAGAGCUAAUUCUGCGGAAUAAAUCCUGCCCACCUGAAGCUGGGAGGGGUGCCUGGAGUAGGCAAAGAUGGCAGUAGAUGGGAAGAGGUUUGGGAGAAAGACAGGUACCCAGGUUCUGCCCUCCGGAAGGAAGGUGGUCAGAGGUCAGCUGAGUUGCCCAAGGUCAUACAAGGUUAGUAUAGUAAUGGAGCUGUGAACAAAAGAAAGCUCCCUGGAGAUGGCCCUAAAUUGGGGGGUAGAGGAGGAGGGCAUCAGGACUGGAGGGGCCUAGAAGAGCUUGCGGGUUCCAGCUUCAGGGCUUCUGAUGUCUCCUCUUCAGAGUACAAUUACCUCGAGGGAAAAGUGGUAACUCUUGGGCCUCUGCACUUUCUCCCCUCUGUAUGUGACUUCCUGGACCAGCCAAACCCAGCCCUCCAAGGAUGGGAGUGGAUCCUGAAGCAGUGAAAAUCAACACAGGUGUGGUUCUGACAUGGCUUUGAGAGCUGGAAUGGAUGAAUAGAUAGAACCUGGGAAGGUCAGAGCUGGAAAGUGCCUUACUGCAUUUAACUCCCGUUUUAUGAGUAAAUAGAGGCUCACAAGCCAGCCUCUCAGCCUAACUGUCUGCCCCCCACAUGAAGUCGCCCUAUCUGCUAGCUUCCCUGGCCUCAGAGUUCCCUCUCAGGUCUUCGUGGCUCUCACCUGCUGCAGAGCUGUUUUCCAUUUUUGCUUGUUCCUAAAUAGGACUUUAUCAGUGACUGUGCCUGGGGCCUCCAUGGCUCUUAAUUAGGCUUCCUUGAGUUUCCUUUGCAGAGGCCUUUGGGUGAGGGGAGUGUUAGUGCUUCCAGUGCAUAGAGAGCCUGGAGGCGUGAAGGGUGGGGCUUUCAGGCCCCAUCUCUGCCCUGUGCAGGUCUGCUGGAGCCCAGGGGGCUUCAAGUCUGAGACCUCUGGCUCCUGGCUGGCUGCUGCUGUUCCCCCUUCUGCCUGGACUGGGGCUGCCUGAAGGCUGGACACACACAAAGGAUUUCCCGGCUGUGCCCUGAGGAUGGGGAGGGGCUGCAGCUGUGGAAAUGUUGGGAGCCAUAGCCCAUUUGAUCUGGAAUCCCCGCUCUCUGGCUGGAGAUGUGACUUCUCUCUCCGGCUCCUUCUCUUCUUCUGGGUGAAGACCAGGAUGUCGUCACAGAAUCAGGGCUGUGGAGGUCAUGAGAGGAGAGUCGGGGCUUUGCUUGGUCUUGGGACUCGAUGGGACUUCUGGAAGGCUCAAGUGGCAUGGCCUCUGGGCAGGCGCCCCUCUGCAAGGGUGACUGGGACUGUGGCUGGAUGCUCAGGGACAGCUCAGGGUGACUCCCAUGUUCUGCAGAAAGUUGAAGAUCAGCCCCUCUUUUCCGGUAUCGAGAAGGGCUUUUGGUGUCAGGAAACACCUGGAGCUGGAGCUGGCGUCUGGCUGCUGUGCAUGAUCUUGGACAAGUUUCUUCCUCUCUUUGGAAUCUCAAUUUCCUUGCUGUAAAACGGCCACAGUGAUGCUCACAGGGUUCUCAGGAGGACUCAGAGCCUGCUGCUUCGCGAGUUGAGGUACGCCAACUGAGCUGGAGGGAGUGGUGGGCCCUGGACCAUUUAUAGUGUGAAGAGGGUAGUAGGAGGUGGAGGGGAGGAGGCAUUUGAUCUGACACAGAGGGUCGGGGCAGCCAGGAGGCCAGAGGCUCCUAUGCCCUGCCACGGCUUUUGCAGUACAGACAUUGAAGGUUGUCUGCCACUUAUGCAGAAGAGUUUCUAAGAAUCAAAAGUUUAGGGUCCAGGGAGCCAGAAGAAAACAGUGUUGGGAGGCCAGCAGCCAGCCUGGAGGAAGGAGAGUACAGGUGGAGGAGGAAGGAGAUGGAUUCCUUUUCUCCAAAGGCCACACAUGCACUCCUGAACAUGUCAUCCCUCAGACUUUGGGUAUUGGGAAGUUAGUCUCCCACCGGCUGCCUCCAGGACCAGUUGACAGGGAUGAGAAAGCUUCAGAUUUGGUGAGGGCCAAGGGCCACCUCCCAAGCACAAAACAAACCCUCAGGGUACCACCUGGUCCUAGGCCCAAGGACAGAAAGCCUUCAGCCCCCUGUUCCAGCCUCAUCCCCUGGCAGUCUUGGUUCAUCUGCCCAAGCAUAGCUCUAUACCUACUCCUGCUUUCCAGGGCUGAGACUCUGAGUCCAGUAGUCAAGGCCUGGCUUGGACCUGAUGAAUGAAUCAGAUCAAAUACAUGCAGUUUUCUCCCAGGCCUGAUUUAUCCAGCCCCUCCAGACCACAUCCACAUUGCAUCUGAGUCCACACCUUGGUUUCCAUAAGGAACAGCAUUGGGUCUAUGAUGGGCUUUAAGAACAGACCAUAGGUUUGUCAAUUGGCCACCAUUAGAGUCAAACAAGUAGCUCCCGAAGUUUGAUUCUUUGGUAUAAUUUAUAUAAAGUAAAAUCUUAAAUGUAAAAUUAGAUAAUUUUAAACUAAUGUAUAUACCCAUGUAACCAGGAUCCCAGUCAGGAUAUAGAACAUUUCCAUCACCUCAGAAAGUCCCCAGUAACCCCCCAUCACAGAAUGCUGAUCUGAUUUCUAUCAUCAUAGGUAAGCUUUGCCUAUUCUAGAAGUUCAUAUAAAUGAAAUUAUACAGUAUGGAAGUAGAUAGCUUUUUUGUGUCUGGCUUCUUUUGUUUCAUUUGCGAUUCAUCCAUGUUUUUGCAGUAACAGCUCUUUCCUUUUUAUUGUUCCUUUUUAUUGCUGUAGAAUAUUCUAUUUUAUGACUAUACCACAGUUUGGUGGUUAUUUGAUUCCAGUUUUUGGCUAUUAUGAGUAAAGUUGCUAUGAACAUUCAUGUACAAGUUUUUGUGUGGACAUUAUGUUUUCAUUUCUUUUGGGUAAAUACUUAAGACAAAUGGCUAGUUAAUACCUAGUGAAAUUUCUGGACAUACAUUAAAUGUACAUUUAACUUUUUGAGAAACUGCCAGAUUUCAAAAGUGAUUGUAUCAUUUUACAUUCCCACCAGCAAUUUAUGAGACUUCCAGUUACUCCAUGUCCUCAUCAACAUUUGGUAUUAUCAGUCCUUUUUAGCUUAGCUAUUCUGAUGUAUAUGUAGUGUUAUUUCAUUGUAGUUUUAGUUCACAUUUUCCUGAUGACUAAUGAUGUUGGGGACUUUUUCAUGUGAUUAUUGGCCAUUGACAUAUCUGUUCAAGUCUGUACCUUAUUUUCAAACAUUGGGUUGUUUAUCUUUUUUAUUAUUGACUUGUGGGAGUUCUUUAUAUAUUCUGGAUAUAUAUCCAUUGACAAAGGAUAUGAGUUGGGAAUGUUUUCUCCUACACUAUGGCUGACCUACUCAUUGUCUUAUGACUUUUGAUGAGCAGUUUUAAAUUUUUUUGAAAUUCAAUUUAUCAUUGUUUGCUUUUAUGAUUAGUGUUUUCUAUGUCUUCUUUAAGAAAUUUUUACUUAUCCCAAAGUUGCAAAGAUAUUCUUCAAUUUUUUUUCCUCUCCUAGAAUCUGUAUAAUUUUAGCUUUUACAUUUGGGCCCAUGAGCCAUCUGUAAUUGAUUUCUGAAUAUGGUGAGAGCUCAGGAUUGAGAUUUAUAUUUUUCCAUAUGGAUAUCUAGACAGCAGCAUUCUUGAAGAAAAAUAAAUAUUUCUUACUAUGGCACUCUUAGAAAAAAACACUUGCUUGUGUAUAGUUCUGGACUCUGUUCUCUUUCAUUGAUUGUCUAUAUAUUUGCCAAUACCAUACUGUCCUGAUUACGUUCAAUCCAUCAACAUGGCAUAUCUUCCUAUUUAUUUAGGUCUUCUUUAAUUUUUCUUAGCAAUAUUUUAUAGUCUUGCACAUCUAACUUUAUAUUAAUUUACAUUAAUUAAUUAAUUUACAUUAAUUUCUACCUAGUAUUUUUAGUUUUUGGA